UACGAAGGGUGCAAGCGUUAAUCGGAAUUACUGGGCGUAAAGCGAGCGCAGGCGGCUCUGUAAGUCAGAUGUGAAAUCCCCGGGCUCAACCUGGGAACUGCGUUUGAAACUACAGGGCUAGAGUAUGGGAGAGGCGGGUAGAAUUCCACGUGUAGCAGUGAAAUGCGUAGAGAUGUGGAGGAAUACCAAUGGCGAAGGCAGCACCCUGGCCUAAUACUGACGCUCAUGCUCGAAAGCGUGGGGAGCAAACAGG
rnacentral:rRNA from 1 species